ACCGACUCUGGAGCUAUUUCUACUGUCAAGAUUUGCUCCGAUGGAAUAUGGGUAUAAAUAUCCCUCCGACCUGAGACCACCACGGUGACUUGCAAGCAACUCACUGCACUUAGGCACUGGACUACCUGAAUUUCUAAUUCAGUGAUGGAAGGCUGCUGGGUGUAGUCAAGUACUUGACUUGUCGGUGCGUGUGUCAAGAUGGGAUUGACCACUCCAGUUUAGGAGCUAUAUACAGUCAUGUUUCAAUUUAGCAAAACCUUGACCAGGGUAGUCCUUGUGAGGAGUCACAGGACUAUUUGAGUUGAGCACGAUUCGGAUGAUCUGAUCAGGGUUGACAGUUUAACCCUGAGUCGUCCUAAACACAGGGGUCAAAA
rnacentral:lncRNA from 1 species